GAACGCUGGCGGCAUGCCUUACACAUGCAAGUCGAACGGUAACAGGUCUUCGGAUGCUGACGAGUGGCGAACGGGUGAGUAAUACAUCGGAACGUGCCCGAGAGUGGGGGAUAACGGAGCGAAAGCUUUGCUAAUACCGCAUACGAUCUACGGAUGAAAGCAGGGGACCGCAAGGCCUUGCGCUCAUGGAGCGGCCGAUGGCAGAUUAGGUAGUUGGUGGGAUAAAAGCUUACCAAGCCGACGAUCUGUAGCUGGUCUGAGAGGACGACCAGCCACACUGGGACUGAGACACGGCCCAGACUCCUACGGGAGGCAGCAGUGGGGAAUUUUGGACAAUGGGCGCAAGCCUGAUCCAGCCAUGCCGCGUGCAGGAUGAAGGCCUUCGGGUUGUAAACUGCUUUUGUACGGAACGAAAAGACUCCUUCUAAUAAAGGGGGUCCAUGACGGUACCGUAAGAAUAAGCACCGGCUAACUACGUGCCAGCAGCCGCGGUAAUACGUAGGGUGCAAGCGUUAAUCGGAAUUACUGGGCGUAAAGCGUGCGCAGGCGGUUAUAUAAGA
rnacentral:rRNA from 1 species